GGGAAGCGAGCGUACACAGGUGCCGCAUGGCUGUCGUCAGCUCGUGUCGUGAGAUGUUGGGUUUAAGUCCCGCAACGAGCGCAACCCUUGCCUUUAGUUGCCAGCAGUUCGGCUGGGCACUCUAAAGGGACUGCCGGUGUUAAACCGGAGGAAGGUGGGGAUGACGUCAAGUCCUCAUGGCCUUUAUGACCAGGGCUACACACGUACUACAAUGGCCGAUACAAAGGGCAGCGACACUGCGAGGUGAAGCCAAUCCCGUAAAAUCGGUCUCAGUCCGGAUUGGAGUCUGCAACUCGACUCCAUGAAGUUGGAAUCGCUAGUAAUCGUGGAUCAGCAUGCCACGGUGAAUACGUUCCCGGGCCUU
rnacentral:rRNA from 1 species